rnacentral:rRNA from 1 species
GUGAGGAAUAUUGGUCAAUGGGCGGGAGCCUGAACCAGCCAAGUCGCGUGAAGGAAGAAGGAUCUAUGGUUCGUAAACUUCUUUUGCAGGGGAAUAAAGUGCAGGACGUGUCCUGUUUUGUAUGUACCCUGAGAAUAAGGAUCGGCUAACUCCGUGCCAGCAGCCGCGGUAAUACGGAGGAUCCGAGCGUUAUCCGGAUUUAUUGGGUUUAAAGGGUGCGUAGGUGGUUUGAUAAGUCAGCGGUGAAAGUUUGCAGCUUAACUGUAAAAAUGCCGUUGAAACUGUCGGACUUGAGUGUAAAUGAUGUAGGCGGAAUGCGUGGUGUAGCGGUGAAAUGCAUAGAUAUCACGCAGAACUCCGAUUGCGAAGGCAGCUUACUAAGCUACAACUGACACUGAAGCACGAAAGCGUGGGGAUCAAACAGGAUUAGAAACCCUUGUAGUCC